rnacentral:rRNA from 1 species
GGGUUGUGAGGUUAAGCGACUAAGCGUACACGGUGGAUGCCCUGGCAGUCAGAGGCGAUGAAGGACGUGCUAAUCUGCGAUAAGCGUCGGUAAGGUGAUAUGAACCGUUAUAACCGGCGAUUUCCGAAUGGGGAAACCCAGUGUGAUUCGUCACACUAUCAUUAACUGAAUCCAUAGGUUAAUGAGGCGAACCGGGGGAACUGAAACAUCUAAGUACCCCGAGGAAAAGAAAUCAACCGAGAUUCCCCCAGUAGCGGCGAGCGAACGGGGAGCAGCCCAGAGCCUGAAUCAGUGUGUGUGUUAGUGGAAGCGUCUGGAAAGGCGUGCGAUACAGGGUGACAGCCCCGUACACAAAAAUGCACAUACUGUGAGCUCGAUGAGUAGGGCGGGACACGUGGUAUCCUGUCUGAAUAUGGGGGGACCAUCCUCCAAGGCUAAAUACUCCUGACUGACCGAUAGUGAACCAGUACCGUGAGGGAAAGGCGAAAAGAACCCCGGCGAGGGGAGUGAAAAAGAACCUGAAACCGUGUACGUACAAGCAGUGGGAGCACGCUUAGGCGUGUGACUGCGUACCUUUUGUAUAAUGGGUCAGCGACUUAUAUUCUGUAGCAAGGUUAACCGAAUAGGGGAGCCGAAGGGAAACCGAGUCUUAACUGGGCGUUAAGUUGCAGGGUAUAGACCCGAAACCCGGUGAUCUAGCCAUGGGCAGGUUGAAGGUUGGGUAACACUAACUGGAGGACCGAACCGACUAAUGUUGAAAAAUUAGCGGAUGACUUGUGGCUGGGGGUGAAAGGCCAAUCAAACCGGGAGAUAGCUGGUUCUCCCCGAAAGCUAUUUAGGUAGCGCCUCGUGAAUUCAUCUCCGGGGGUAGAGCACUGUUUCGGCAAGGGGGUCAUCCCGACUUACCAACCCGAUGCAAACUGCGAAUACCGGAGAAUGUUAUUACGGGAGACACACGGCGGGUGCUAACGUCCGUC